AAGAAUUAUGGAGGUAUUUUCUUCAUCUGUGAAUUGAAUAAAUAUGUGUUCCUCCACAACACGAAGAUGGAUAAGAUUGCUUAUCUUAGUAACUUGAAAUAUGUCACACUGAAGUAUAAAUUAUUAUUUGAAGAGAGCAGUAUUUUCAAGAGGAUAUAAUUUUAUGCAUACAACAAGAAUUGCGGUCCUUUAAAAUGUCCCUUUUCUUUGAUUUUUUAUUAUAUUCUGCCUUAGGAUAAGAAAAAUGGAUUUACUUGCAUAGGUGUUCAUUAAUAGGGGAGAAAAAAGCUUUUAUUUAAAGGUAAAAUUCAGCUCAUGUUAGAGAAGGCUAUAAAUGUAUACCAAAAAAAAGUACACACACACACACACACACAACCUAUCAGAACACUCACUUUCUGCUUUGGGUUUUAUUCAAAACACAGCUUUCCACUGAUUAUUGUUUCCCCUUUGGUCAGCCCCCUCAUUACUGCCUGCAAAUCUUCACCCAUUCAUUACAAAGUUACCAAGUUAUUCUUUUCUCCUUAUCCUCGAACAUUAUUAUUCCCCUUAUUCUGGUUACUGGAAGGUACACACGCCAUGGCAGGUGGCAGGCCAAACUCCUAAUCGAAUGUACGGAUUACACAACAAAUACGGGCAAGGUAAGUAAGGAAAGUUCAGUGCCUGUGUCUUCUGCUUGCUGUAUGUGUCAGCUUUCUGCUUCCCACGCAGGCAGGUCACGGUGCUGGUACACCCUCUGUCACUCUCCUAAUUAAACAUGGCUUUCUGGGAGGAGAUCCCUUCACUUGGCACCUCUGGAAAGUGUUUUGGUCCCCUGCCCCCAUUAUGCAGUCAUUGGCUGCCUGCUUACCCACCCUUUCACCAGGGAACCUACGCACGCCUUCCCUCCCAAACAUGCCCUUUGCUUCAGAGCUCCUCUGGACCCCCUUUAGUUCAUCCUGCCCGUGCCACCCAAAUCCCCACGGAGCUCUACCUGUAUCUCGACCAGUCAUGACAGCGUAACAGUCUGCAAUUACCCACCCUUAACCAUGAGUCACCAACAGCAACCUUCCUUGUCUUUCUUCCUCCCCGCCUCUUACAAUCUACCCAGAAACGUCUGCUGCUUUAAGCACAUCUCUAAUUGCUGGAAUUUUAGGAAGAGUUGGCAAGAUACUUGGGGUGGGGAUGAGUGAGGAGUGUCACUUGGACUUCUCCCCUAAAUUUUAUCACCAGUUUUCUCUUCAUAGGAACAGAGUUUGUUCUGGGAACAUGUAUGAAGGACUAGUUCCCUUCCUUCCACAGGGAAACUUCUGCGAAGACAUUUUGAAGGCCCCUGAACAAAUGAUUCCCAGCAAAGUGGCACAUCCCUGAAAACUUGAGGAUAAUGGGAGGUGGUUUUCUCCUCAGACCCGUGCCCUGCUGGAGAGGAGAGCCAUAGUGAGGAAGGUUUAGCUGAAACUACUCUGACUCGGCUUCACAGUUCUGCUCUUCUUAGCCCACUAAAGGAGAAUGUGAAGAAAUAACAGACGAGUGGGGACCGCCUCAUAUCAAGCAGGCCUCAACCCUUACCUCAUUAUGGUUCCCCCAUCCUGACAGUGAAGGAUGGUGGAGAAGGGGGGGAGGGCUUGAGAGAGACAGGCGUGCCAUGUGCAGAUACAAGAGUCUGCAGAGAAGUUUCUAUCCUCCGUUUACUAUUUCCCCUCUCACUCCUUCCCCACAAAAGUUUAGUUGCUUGUGACACGUUAAAAAAAAAAAAAGCAACAUCCAGAUUUCAGAAAGUGGAGGCACUUAGAACUAUGCCGUGUUAUUCUCCUAUUAGACAAACAAUUUCACAGAAUACCGACCUCACACAAGUUUAAUCUCAGACUGUAAUAAAAUGAGACAGAGCAAGGCCACUUUUUCAUUUUGGCCAAGCACACAUAAAAACAAGGUCACUGUGCAACCCAUAAAAUAUCAAACAUCCUUCUCUCCUGUUGCCGGAAUGACUGCUAUUCUUUACCCAAGUAUGGAUAUGUGCUUGCUUUCUGACAACAUCCAAUAUGGAGAAAAUCUCCGUUUUCUUAGACCUUCUGCCAGGUCACUCAGCUAAAUCCUGAGUUCUGUCAUAGGCUCUUGCUGACAACCCUUUUACUGAGCAACCUCACAGUUUCUCAUGCUGGGCAUUUUCCCUUGCUGGAACCCGUAAUAAACCCAACCCAGUUAACUGUAGGUGCGUUCCCAGUAGUCUUCGGGGCAUUGACACCUGUGUAAAGACACUACUGAGCAUUCGGGAAAUUUUUAUUGAGCACCUUCUAUAAACCAGGUUCCCACCCUAAGUCCUAGGAAUACUGGUCAAAGCAAACAAAAACCCCUGUCCUACAAGGCUUGAAUCUUUGCAGGGGAGACAGACAAUAAACAAGAUGAGUAAAUAAAGUAGAUAGUAGCUUGGAAGGUGGUAACGGCAGAGAAAAAAAAUAAAGCAGGAUUCAUUUUAGAUGGGAAGGCUUCACUGAUCUGAAAGAGAAAAGGAGUAAGCCUGGAAGUUUGGGAAAGCAUGGGAGGAACACAAAUGCAAAGGCCCUGAAGCAGGAGGAUCUCCGCCCUGUUUGAAACACUUCAAACAACCCGGUGACUGGAUAAAAGAGAGAGCAUUGCCCAUAAUCAUCAAGUUUGGAAUCGAAUGUCCAUUAUUCAGAAGUUGUGAAACUGUGGACUUCUACCCAAUGGAAUAUUAUGCAACUAUACAAAGAAUGAGAUUGUUUCUACAUAUUGACAUGGAUAUUCACCAGAUGCCAUAAUUAUUCUUUAAGGUGCAUCCAAAGUCAUUGUGUGAUCCUGGGCUCUCAUUGACUCCUGCCUUCAGGAGCCUGCAUGUUCUGGAUACAAGAGCUGUGAGGCUUCUCUCUGGUCACACUGGCAUCCUCAAGGUCCCUGCAACAGAGCAGGCAACAGAUCAGACUCUCUCAGAGACUUUGCUCCAGCUCCGUGGUUCUCAAAGGAUGACCCAGGGAUCUCUGGUUUUUAAAAUUACAUGUGCAAAAAUCUUUGUAAAACUAUAAUGAAGCCCGUAAACAAAUGAAAGAACUUUAACACACGCAUGAAAGUUCCUCUUCAGGAUCUUAAAGAAUUGGCCUUCUGACACUGAAGUGUCCUCACCCAUGUCAUAAAGUCAUACUUACGAGAAUCACAGACUAACACCAUCUUGGACAAAUCCACUGUGAUAAUGACUGCUCUAUGACCUGAAGCCUUCCGAGCACAGCACCGCCCCCACCCCAUUCUUUUCUUCUGUUUAACCACACCCUUAAGUACACACUUAAAGCAUAAUGUCCUUGAUCUACUCUGCAGAUAUGACUAUGACACACACCUAUUCUCAAACAUUCCCCUCUAAGGUGGUCCCCCCAGUAUGUACUCACUAGGGCUAUAAAAGCAUGUCUUAUGGGAGGUGGGGUUGUGGAGAUCUCCUCUUGUGGCCAUGAAAGACACGCUUCUGUUUGUAAGUCUUCUUAAUAAACUAUUUCUUAUCAAGCGGGACUUCUCAGCCUUUGUCUUUGGUCUUACAGCUCCUUCCACCUUUGGAAAUCACCUUACAUAUACCUCCCUUUCGAGGGAGCACCGAUGCAUUAUGUGUUAUAGCACCUAAUGCAAUCAUCUGUGCUCUACCACUAGAUUAACUCCACUAACAUUUAUAUACUUUUGGAAAUGUGGCAAGAACUAACCAAAAAUACUUAUAUAACCAAAAAUAUUUAUAU